rnacentral:rRNA from 1 species
UACAGAGGUCUCAAGCGUUGUUCGGAUUCAUUGGGCGUAAAGGGUGCGUAGGCGGCGCGGUAAGUCGGGUGUGAAAUCUCGGGGCUUAACUCCGAAACUGCAUUCGAUACUGCCGUGCUUGAGGACUGGAGAGGAGACUGGAAUUUACGGUGUAGCGGUGAAAUGCGUAGAUAUCGUAAGGAAGACCAGUGGCGAAGGCGGGUCUCUGGACAGUUACUGACACUGAGGCACGAAGGUCAGGGGAGCAAACGGG